rnacentral:rRNA from 1 species
GCGCAGCAGUCGCGAAACCUCCGCAAUACACGAAAGUGUGACGGGGCCAUCCCGAGUGCCGUCCGCUGAGGACGGCUUUUCCCCAGUGUACAUAGCUGGGGGAAUAAGGAGAGGGCAAGCCUGGUGUCAGCCGCCGCGGUAAUACCAGCUCUCCGAGUGGUGGGGACGCUUAUUGGGCCUAAAGCAUCCGUAGCCGGCUGGGCAAGUCCUCCGUUAAAUCCAACGAUUCAAUCGUUGGGCUGCGGGGGAUACUGUCCAGCGUUGGGGGGCGGGAGAGGCCGACGGUAGUUCCCGGGGUAGGGGUGAAAUCCUAUAAUCCCCGGGAGGACCACCAGUGGCGAAGGCUGUCGGCUAGAACGCGCCCGACGGUGAGGGAUGAAAGCGUGGGGGAGCGAACCGGAUUAGACUACCCCCGUAGU